rnacentral:rRNA from 1 species
UGGGGAAUAUUGCGCAAUGGGCGAAAGCCUGACGCAGCGACGCCGCGUGAGGGAUGAAGGUUUUCGGAUCGUAAACCUCUGUCAGAAGGGAAGAAACCGCACUGUGCUAAUCAGCAGUGCCUUGACGGUACCUUCAAAGGAAGCACCGGCUAACUCCGUGCCAGCAGCCGCGGUAAUACGGAGGGUGCAAGCGUUAAUCGGAAUUACUGGGCGUAAAGCGCACGUAGGCUGCUUUGUAAGUCAGGGGUGAAAUCCCACGGCUCAACCGUGGAACUGCCUUUGAUACUGCUUAGCUUGAAUCCGGGAGAGGGUGGCGGAAUUCCAGGUGUAGGAGUGAAAUCCGUAGAUAUCUGAGGAACAUCAGUGGCGAAGGCGGCCACCUGGACCGGUAUUGACGCUGAGGUGCGAAAGCGUGGGGAGCAAACAGG